rnacentral:rRNA from 1 species
GACGAACGCUGGCGGCGUGCCUAAUACAUGCAAGUUGAGCGCUGAAGGUUGGUACUUGUACCAACUGGAUGAGCAGCGAACGGGUGAGUAACGCGUGGGGAAUCUGCCUUUGAGCGGGGGACAACAUUUGGAAACGAAUGCUAAUACCGCAUAAAAACUUUAAACACAAGUUUUAAGUUUGAAAGAUGCAAUUGCAUCACUCAAAGAUGAUCCCGCGUUGUAUUAGCUAGUUGGUGAGGUAAAGGCUCACCAAGGCGAUGAUACAUAGCCGACCUGAGAGGGUGAUCGGCCACAUUGGGACUGAGACACGGCCCAAACUCCUACGGGAGGCAGCAGUAGGGAAUCUUCGGCAAUGGACGAAAGUCUGACCGAGCAACGCCGCGUGAGUGAAGAAGGUGUUCGGAUCGUAAAACUCUGUUGGUAGAGAAGAACGUUGGUGAGAGUGGAAAGCUCAUCAAGGGACGGUAACUACCCAGAAAGGGACGGCUAACUACGU